ACGAACAAGCCGGACGGGCCAGCGUCCGUCGGGCUAAACCUAACCUAACCUUUAACUGUUACGGUUGUUUUGCUUCCUUUUUUAAACCUUAUAAACAAAGGAUUAUCACGUCCCCACCGCAAUUUUAUAGCUACGUAAAUAAAACUAUACCGCCGCCAUAGAAGGUGUGAGAGCACAACUAGGUCUAUGGGACGUUGACAAUGACUCCAUCCCUGUCACAAGGAACCGCUAUACGGAAACUGGGAAAAUUGGUCGUUGAAUUCUUCAAUAAUGAAAUAAUCUUCGUACAUUGCUGUAAUCAACAAAAACGAAAUCUCAACUCGAAGGAGGACAACAAUGUACGUAGGCAAUAGCUUCUCUAUAUUUUGUGUACGUACGUAUGUCGGAGUGUGUAUCAACUUACCAGACAGUGAAGGGGUUAAGAAGGCCACUGAAAAACCAUGGAAUUCAUUCCAAAUGGAAUAGUAUUUAAUGAGCGGGGUUGAGAUUGUCGGUUUUUUUUCGAAUCAAGGCCGUUGACUACAGAAUAUGAAGACAGUUUCCCUAAUGGCUUUGGUGUGACAACCGAAAAUCGUCGUGCGCUUGCGCUCCCGAAGAUGUUCCAACGGUAUUGUUGAAAACAUAUUGCAGAACAUCAGAGAGUUACCGAUUUUGACCCGAUACUGGCUGCAUUCACCUUCCCAGUAACACAGUCUUCGCAAUGGUGGUUGGCGGUGGUUAGAGGUGGUCGGAGAUGGUUAGGGGUGGUCGUUGGUGGCGGAUGGCGGCGGUUGGAGGUGAUCGAGGUAGACAAGGAGGAGGACAAGGGGGAGAAAGACGAGGAAGACAAGGAGAACGAGGAUUUCUGCACGACAUAACCAGAGGUGGUCAGCGGUGGUCGUUGAAGGUGGUUGGCGGUGGUUGGAGGUGAUCGGUGGAGCUUGAGGGUGGUUGCGGGUAAUCGUGGGAAACGAGGAGUGGGAGGACUAUUGCACUAUUCCGACGUAAUUUUGCGAGAGAAUUCGAUUGGGCGUAGUACUAACACGCUGCGAUCAACGCAUCAAAAUUUACAGCCAGAAAACGAGAACCUGAGUUUUCGAC
rnacentral:lncRNA from 1 species